AGUGAACGCUGGCGGUAGGCCUAACACAUGCAAGUCGAACGGCAGCACAGUAAGAGCUUGCUCUUACGUGUGGCGAGUGGCGGACGGGUGAGUAAGACAUCGGAAUCUACUUUUUCGUGGGGGAUAAUGUAGGGAAACGUACGCGGAUACCGCAUACGACGUACGGGUGUAAGCAGGGGAUCUUCUGACCUUGCGCGAUUGAAUGAGCCGAGGUCGGAUUAGCUAGUUGGCGGGGUAAAGGCCCAGCUAGGCGACGAUCCGUAGCUGGUCUGAGAGGAAGAACAGACACACUGUCACUGAGAAACGGUCCCGACUCCGACAGGAGGACACAGCGGGGAAUAUUGGGCGAUGGGGGCGAGCCGGAUCCAGCACUACCGCGUAAGUGCAGAAGGACUUCGGCUUGGAAAGCCAUUAUGUCGGGAAAGAAAAAAAGCAGGUUAACACCCCGCUGUAAUGACGGUACCCAAAGAAUAAGCACCGGCUAACUCCGUG
rnacentral:rRNA from 1 species